rnacentral:rRNA from 1 species
CCUACGGGAGGCAGCAGUGGGGAAUAUUGGACAAUGGGGGCAACCCUGAUCCAGCCAUGCCGCGUGUGUGAAGAAGGCCCUCGGGUUGUAAAGCACUUUCAGUGAGGAAGAACGCCUGGUGGUUAAUACCCAUCAGGAAAGACAUCACUCACAGAAGAAGCACCGGCUAACUCCGUGCCAGCAGCCGCGGUAAUACGGAGGGUGCGAGCGUUAAUCGGAAUUACUGGGCGUAAAGCGCGCGUAGGUGGCUUGAUAAGCCGGUUGUGAAAGCCCCGGGCUCAACCUGGGAACGGCAUCCGGAACUGGCAAGCUAGAGUGCAGGAGAGGAAGGUAGAAUUCCCGGUGUAGCGGUGAAAUGCGUAGAGAUCGGGAGGAAUACCAGUGGCGAAGGCGGCCUUCUGGACUGACACUGACACUGAGGUGCGAAAGCGUGGGUAGCAAACAGGAUUAGAUACCCCUGUAGUC